rnacentral:rRNA from 1 species
UACGUAGGGGCUAGCGUUGUCCGGAUUUAUUGGGCGUAAAGAGCGUGUAGGCGGCCAGGUAGGUCUGCUGUGAAACUCGAGGCUCAACCUCGAGACGUCGGCGGAAACCAUCUGGCUAGAGUCCGGAAGAGGAGAGUGGAAUUCCGUGGUGUAGCGGUGAAAUGCGCAGAUAUCAGGAAGAACACCCGUGGCGAAGGCGGCUCUCUGGGACGGUACUGACGCUGAGACGCGAAGCGUGGGGAGCGAACAGG